UGGGGAAUCUUGGACAAUGGGGGCAACCCUGAUCCAGCCAUGCCGCGUGAGCGAUGAAGGCCUUAGGGUUGUAAAGCUCUUUCAGCGGGGAAGAUAAUGACGGUACCCGCAGAAGAAGCCCCGGCUAACUCCGUGCCAGCAGCCGCGGUAAUACGGAGGGGGCUAGCGUUGUUCGGAAUUACUGGGCGUAAAGCGCACGUAGGCGGACCUGCAAGUUGGGGGUGAAAUCCCGGGGCUCAACCCCGGAACUGCCUCCAAAACUGCCGGUCUGGAGGUCGAGAGAGGUGAGUGGAAUUCCGAGUGUAGAGGUGAAAUUCGUAGAUAUUCGGAGGAACACCAGUGGCGAAGGCGGCUCACUGGCUCGAUACUGACGCUGAGGUGCGAAAGCGUGGGGAGCAA
rnacentral:rRNA from 1 species